AUGUACUCCCUCAGUCGGAUCUCCCAGGCCCGCGCCGCCGCCUCGGAGCGGAACCGGGACCCCCCCCCGCGCCCCGCUUUGCCCCCCUCGCCCCUCGCCCGCGGGGGGGGCCCCGCCACGGCCGCCGCGUCCCCCGGCCCGAAGUGGGUGACGCGGGGCCGCGACCCCGGCCCCCAGCCCAGCCCACCCCGGUCCCGCUUGAGCUCGGUGGGCACCGGCAGCCGCCGCCCGCGGCCCCCCCCGGCCCAGGCCGCCCCCCGCCCACCCCCCCCGCAGCAGCAGGCGGUAGCCCGGGUUGGAGGGGGGGAUGUGCAGCGGGGCCGGGGGCGCGGGCGGCCCCCCCAGCCCCAGCAGGUGCGCGGUGGAGCGGCGGUGCCGCGCGGGGGGGUCGCGAAACGAGGCUCCGCAGCUGCGGCAGAAGUGGGGGGGGUCCGAGGGGCUGCGGGAAGGAGGCUCUCGUUAACGGUAAUAAUUAAUUACUCGGUAAUUGGGGGGGGGGGCGGGGGGGGUUGGCGGGGGUCGCACCGACCUGGGCGGCUCCUUCCCCUCUCCCGAAAGGUCCCGGGGGCGCUUGCGGGGGCUCUGAGGGGGCUCCGCGCCUCCCCCCUCGGCGAUCAGGCUCUCGUAGAAGCUCCGCGCGUCGGCCCCGGGGUCGGGAGCGCCCGGGGAGGGCUCGGGGGGCGGCGGGGGCGGCUCCUCCUGCAGCCGCCCGUCCUUCCAGCGGCCGGCCUGGUCCCGGCCCCGGCGGAACGCGAUCAGCGACAUCGAGGGGCCCGGGGGGGCCCGGGGGGUGUUUGGGGGCCCCGAGGGGUCCCGGACCGACCCCGCAGCCGCCACCGGAAGCUGCGAGUGGGGCGGAGGAAUCACGUGACUCACCAGCGGGCUGUGAUUGGUUGGUACAGGCGCGGGACGAGAGUUCGGGCGGAAGCUACGGCGAUACCCGGCGCUGAUUGGUCAGUCCCGACCCGGGGGUGGGGUUUGGGGCGGAAGUACCAGGCGGCCGGCACCGAUUGGUCGGUUCCGGGGAGGAGGCGGGGCUUGGGGCGGAAGCGGCGGCUGCGCGUGCGCGGAUCGUGCCCGGAGCGCCCCUAA
rnacentral:lncRNA from 1 species